AUGACCCGGCCUCUUUCUUCUCUCUGCAAUGAACUAGGAGGGGAAAUAGGAUCUGUGAGAUGCAGUUUCCUGCUGAGGAAUCUCUCUUCUCUUCCUGAGCCCCACCCCUCUGUAAGUAGUCAGAGACUUAAAGAAGACUUAAGAAGAUCCACGAAGAUUAAGGCAGAGCCUCAAGAAAGUCACAAUCUAAAGGAAGAAUGGCGUGACUCUUGACUUCUGAAUCAGAUAUGAGCUGUACCAUCCUGCUUUCCCAUGGACAGAAACAGUCUGCUCUCUGGCUUCACCUUCUGAAGGCUGCAAUAGAGGAAAGUAAUAAUGAGUCUCUUUUCUGUACCUGCCUCCCUACUCUCUUCCUCCAUCUUUUACCUUCUCCAGCCUCAUCCAUACAUGAAUGCCUAUAACCAAGACAGCAGCUGCCUGAGUGCCUCCAAUUUCUCCAGCUUUUUGGGACCACCUUCCAGUUGACAGUGCAAUAGAAUGGCUUGAAUCUUUUUCUUGGGAAGUCUGGUAUUCCCUCAAUAUCUCCAAGAAUUAUAGAUAGUCUUUUGUUGCUUCUCUAGCUCCAAGUCCUUGCUUUUAGUGAAUUCUUCAUCUUUUCUCCUUGUCUUUCCUCCUGUGUAUACUGUCCAUUUCUGCACAUCAUCUCCCCUACAGGGGCACAGCCCCUUCCUUCUCCUUUAAUUCUCAGACAACCAUACACACAAAGCCAUGACCGCUGGCCGAAUUUUGGGGUACUGGCUUUACUGAGUACCAUUGAUUACAUUGUCGUAUCACAUAACAAAUGGUUUUCACAAAGUCAGAUUAAAAAAUACAGAUAUUAAUGGAGCUUCCUCAUUUUCAUUAGCUCUACUAACCACCAUGUUGUUUUGGGUUUUCCACUUUCUUUCCUUCUUCACAUCUCUUUUUUUCCUCCCCCAGUUGCUUUUCCCUCCCUUGCAGAUUGCCUUUGGAAACAGACUCAGGAGAAGGAAGGGGAGGAACUGAACUGAGCCAACCCCAGUUAUUGUUCUGAAAUUUACCAAUCAUGGGGUACAUUUGGGAAAAAUAACUUCCAAGAAGAGGGAUAAAAACCAACAUGGCACGUGUGUACAUAUGUAUCAAACCUACACAUUGUGCACAUGUACCCUAGAACUUAAAGUAUUUAAAAAAAAAAAAAAAAACAGAGUGGAGAGAGGCCAGGAAAAUUCUUCACUGGGAAACUAUUCUAAACCUGUUGAAAUGUGUUAGUUUGUCAUUGUCUAUUCUCAGCCCAGCCUGACAAGCUUUCAUGUCUAAAUGUAAAACAGUAGCCAAAAGGAGACUGUGAUUUCCAGUGCUUCACUGCUCAGAUAGUUUCAUAAAGUGGAUUCCUUCUGCGCUUUAGCUGCCACUAUCACUCUUUAGAUGUUACGUGUCACAUGCCAGCCAGCAAGCAGCACAAACCUUCACUGUUGGCUUUUGUUUUCAUUUAUUUCAUGACAGCUGUCAUUUAAAAUCAACAUUUAUUGAGCACCUAAUAAUAGGCCUGGGGUAGGAAUGGUGGAAUACACACAUUUGAUUAAGACAUGCUCCCAGCCCUCAAGGGAGUCAUGCUGUAGCAGAAAAUAAAUGUAAGAUUGUGUUAUGUCCUCUAAAUGGCUUUUGCAAAGAUUACCCUGCACUACCUGUGAAGUAGGGAAGGCAGAUGAUGACCUGACUUGAAGAAUGACAAAACAGAAACUCAGAGCUAGGAAGUCACUGGUCUAGACUCUCACAGCUAAGAAAUGAUAGAACCAGAACUAGGACCUGUGGUUUUUGACUUCUGAUCUACUCUCCUUCCUUGUAUCAUAGGUCCACAUUGGGUAUAUCACAUUACCAGAAAGAGAAAAGAAUGUUCCAAACGUUAUUGGAUUGGUGCCACAUAUGGAAGAAACUUACCAGCUCUUGGGAAAAAGAAUAUGUUGUGGUAGGCAGUAGCUUUCCUCUUCAUCUUUUUUCUUAAAAGCCAGUGUCCAAAUGCAUCAGCCUCCAUAAACCACAUUGGGAUGAUUUCCAGGGGAAUUGUACUCCAAGGGGUGUUUAGCUUUUUCAGAUUAGGUAGGGAUAAAUUCUUGUUUUAUUAAAGUUGUUAUCCUAUUCAUGGGUAGAUUUCUAAGCAAAUAUUACUUAUGAGACCUGAAUAAUUGUUGACACCCCAGAGUUCAAUAAACACUUACUGAAGGUACAUAAUUAGGCAAAUUACAUGAUAAAGUCUAUUUCGAUAUAAUUUACUAUUUCUUAAAGCUUAUUUAUCUUCUCCUGGUUAAAGAAAGCACAGUGAGGAAGAUAUGAACCAUGAGUGUACAAAGUCUGUGAGGUGGUGAAAUCCUAGAAAACAGAGAGGAAGAGCAGACAGUAAAUCUAUUUUCAACAUCAUCUGAAUCAGAUUUUCAUAGUGAACUGUCAUUUUCUUUAUGCAAGGCUUUAUACAUUCCGGAACUGCUGUCAGCCAUAUUGAAAUGUAUAUGGACUCUGUCUCCAGAGCCACAAAGCAGAGAAAAGAAGCAAACCUUCAUGGCUGAGCUGCUGAACAAACAGCUCUGGAAGACUGCCUGCUUCUGACUUGCUGCCUUAUUGUUGGGUCAGGUUGAUUUGAGGUUUUUGAGUACUUGUAAAACAAAACAACAAAACGAAACAAAUACAUUUACCAUUUUAAUUGUCUCUUUUACUUUACUCUUUCAUUAGCACAAACAAUUGAGCGUUGGACUAUUCUGAGAUUUCUGUCUCUGAUAGUGUCAAAGUUCUUCUGUAGGACUGUACACAGAUUAUCCAAACAUGUGUAGGUCUUUGCUAUGAUCACAGAAAAAUAUAUGACGGUUGUGUGUGAGUUGGUGGGAAAAAAAUUCAUGGUGAUUUAUGUAAAUUAAUCAGCCCCUAGCAUGGUUCCUGGCUUGGAUGCUUGAUAGUAGUUGUUGACUAUAGAUAAAUACUUAUUGACUAUUGGGCUAUAGACCUCUGAUAAAUGUAGAAUAAAUUCUUAUCUCUCUCUUGAAACCAUCACUAUGAUAUUAAACACUUGUCUGCAUAUGCUUUGUGUGUCUUAAAUAUGUCUUGUCAUAUUACUCAGUAUUGUUUGAUAAAUAAUUAGGAUUGUUUGAGAAUAAUAAUAAUCAUUACCAUCUAUUGUUUUGUAGGUGUUAGGAU
ensembl:lncRNA